rnacentral:misc_RNA from 1 species
GAUGAAGAACGUAGCGAAAUGCGAUAAGUAAUGUGAAUUGCAGAAUUCAGUGAAUCAUCGAAUCUUUGAACGCACAUUGCGCCCGCCGGUAUUCCGGCGGGCAUGCCUGUUCGAGCGUCAUUUCAACCAUCAAGCCCUGGGCUUGUGUUGGGGACCUGCGGCUGCCGCAGGCCCUGAAAUGCAGUGGCGGGCUCGCAAGACACACCGAGCGUAGUAGCUUACAACCUCGCUUUGGGAGUGCUGCGGGUGCUGGCCGUAAAGCGACCUUUGCGUCUUUAGCACUAGGUUGACCUCGGAUCAGGUAGGAGGACCCGCUGAACUUAAGCAUAUCAAUAGCGGAGGA